GAAGGGCGGGGACGACGAGUUGCUAUGGUGUGCUUUGGUUAAUCGGUCUGUGUCCAUGAAUGAUUCCAGCAAGGAUUGAUUAUUCACCAUGGGGUGAGGGAAGAAAAGAAGUGUCUUUUCAAGAUUGUCCCUAUUCUUAAAGGUCAAGGCAAUGAAUGGUAUUAUCAUAGGAAAUCAAGAGAAUCAGAGGGACUUUGGUGUGCACGUCCAUAGGCCAUGAAUAGCAGCAGGACAGAGGAAAAGCAGGAAUCCAGACUGAAUCAGCAGCCUGAAUCUGACCCUCCACCUCUGUCAAGUUGCUGCUAGAAAUAAGCCUGAAAUUGCCUGCCAGAAGUAAAGCAACUGGGCCCAUCUCCAAGGACACCAUUACUGGACGUUGACCUCCGAAGUUGCAACUGUCAUCAAUUUCAUUUCAACACCUAAGAUUUACCAAAACCUGUAAUUUAUAAUCUAUCUCCAAUGCCAUAUUUCUUCAUUUUCUGAGUUCUUGUAUCUGUGGACAGAGUAGCAACUUAAUUCUCCUGUGCUUUUAAUGUUUUGUCAAUAUCUUUGAAUUCAACCUAAAGUUUUUUGCUGUGGGUUUAUUCCAAAAAUUGGGAUCCUAAAAUAAGAGUUUGGAAAACACCCUACCUGAGUGAAGGAGAGGAGUGAAGAGGGAAAACAGUGAAUGAAACAAUACCACACGAUCUUGGGCUUUAGAGACAAAAAAAAAGCAUAAUUUAAAUUAAUCCCCAUUCAUCCAUUGUCUGUGGCAGUUUGAUAUUCUUUGCCAUUACUAAAUUUCUAGCAACAGCCCAUCAAGCAAAUAGAGUGCACUAGAAAUUUCUAGAUCACUUCAGCAGUAUCCUUCACAUCAUUAAGGUGAACAAUCUGUCAUGUGCUGACCUGACCAAACCAAAUUAUAAAUGUGCUGAGACAGGAAGAGCAGCAAAACCACAGUUGCAGCUCAACCAUUGCAGAAGUAUUUGAAUAUUAUUUGCAACUGGUGCAGUGGAUGGCAAGUGAAGCUCAGUGCUUAUGACGACAAUGUAGGGCAUUGAACAAUUCAUGCAGUAUAAGCUAAGUGCCAGUGAAACAGCGUUAACACAGGGAGAUUUGGAAAGAAAAGACUGGCAAUGUAGAGAUGCAACAUUUAAAAAUGUAUUCUUUUCAAACUUCAGGAGAUGAGUUUAGAAAUUAAAAUAAAGAAAAACAAAAGCAAACCGUAAGCUGAAAUAUAAACAUCAAUUUUAGGAAAUGACUCUCCCAGACAGAGUCAAAUGAAGAAUCCUUGAGGCUAUGAGUAUUUGGGGGUCCCUUUUGCAACCCUUAAAACAUGAACAUGAAAUAACUGUUAGCAUGUUUACAAAAUGUAUGGACAACAAAGCAAAUCUUAUCACUGCAGACUAUGCUGAAGUGAAACAUGUUUGCCCUUCAUCUCUGCUCCCAGUAUGAUGUCUGUCCAGCAGUGCAGAAGGAGAAUUUCUGUCCACGCUAUUCGAUGAAUUAUCUAUUAACUGAAAUCAUAUGUAUCCAAUUUCCUAUCAUGCAGUCCCUCUAGGCUCCAUGCCAACUAUACCUAAUAACAGCUCAACAUAAGUGUACUGAAAACAUUCUCAAAUUGACAAGACAGAAUCAUUUAAAUAUGAUGUAAAGUGUUGCUCAGUAAUCUAUGGCAGUCAUGAACAAGCAAUUAUGAAGGGGCAGAGGAGACCAAGUAUAUCUCCUGUAAUUAAAAGUGAUCAUUAUUUCAUGAGCCGAUAACAAAGACAGCUAAAGCCAGAAUUUGCUGGAAAAAAGUUGUGGAAAAAAUAAGUCCAUAAAUUAAAUCUGGUUCAACCCUUGAAAAAGUAAAGCCAUAGGGUCAGAAGAGGUAAACAGUAUCAACUGUGGCUCAGUGUUAGAACUGAGCCCAAAGCUUAUGGAUUCAGGAACAUCUCCAGGCAGUUGAGCAAAUAAUCUAGGCUGACAAUUCAAUGCAGUCCUGAGGGACUGCUGCACUAUCAGAGGUGUUAUCUUUGGAGAUGUGAAACCAAGGUCCUAUUUGCCCUCACAGAUACACAUAAUAUAUUGCAUGACAUUAUGUGAAAGGAAUGCAGGAAAAUUCUUCUGAUAUCCUGGCCAAUAUUUAUUCUUCAACAUCAAUAAUAAAAAGGUGAGUUGCUCUUAUGGAGAUCCAUCUUGGACAUGAUGGGCUGAACAGCAUGUCCCUGUGUUGCAACUAUUCUGUGAUGAUCAAUUUGCUAUUUUUGUGGGACCAUGCUGUGUAUCCACUAGCUGCCACAUUUCCUACAUUACAAAAGUGACUACUUUUUGAAAGUAUUUAAUUCUCUGAAGCAUCUGGGGAUACCCUGAGAUUCUAGAAGGCACUGUCUGAAUUUUCAUCCUUUAGAAUAGAUCACUGUAUAAUGAUAUAACGUGAACCCUUAGUUGACUCCAGAAAGCCAGUUGGUGAAGGAUAAAUCUGGAACCAAUUUCACAGAUAUUUUGUCUUAUUUCGAGCAUUACACAGUACACGAACACAUUGAUCUUUUCAGCUGAAAUCCUCAGCUAAUCUGGCCCAAUGCCAAUGACCAGAAUUUUAGUUUCUUUUAAAGUAAUCUUCAACAAUUUUAUCUUUUCUUGGUGCUAUUCUUAAUUCGGAGAAUUGUUGAAGCACAGCAAAUUCUGUAGUUUUUAUGACAGAAUGGGGUGAGGAGACAAGCCGGGAUGGCAAUCAAACUGGAUGCUGUUGGCACCAUUCUGAGUCACACAAUAGCCAUAUCGCUGAGUGAGCUAACCUGACACCCCCUCCCUAAGUGCACACAUUUGAAAAGCACAUUCCAAUUUCACAUUAUUAAAACCCCAAAUUCCAGUACUUUAAUAGAAACUUAAAUCAAAUUAAUGUAACAUGCCAGGGUCACUGGCAUAUCAGUCGUGUUGCUGUCACAAUCAGUGGUGGUGGGAAAUUACACCCACUAUCAGAGAAAAAAUUAUACACACAAAGGAUACGACACAUCUGGAGGAAGAGCUUGAUAAAUGGCAAAUUACUGUGAAUGACCUUUUACAGCUAAGCACAGCUUGGUGUCAGUCAAGUUAACUGGAAUCAUGUGGCGAUGGUUUGAAAUGUAUACCACACUAACGUUUUUGAAGAAAUGAAUAAACAGACUACAGAAAACUUAAAA